rnacentral:rRNA from 1 species
AUUGAACGCUGGCGGCAGGCCUAACACAUGCAAGUCGAGCGGAUGAAGGGAGCUUGCUCCUGGAUUCAGCGGCGGACGGGUGAGUAAUGCCUAGGAAUCUGCCUGGUAGUGGGGGAUAACGUCCGGAAACGAGCGCUAAUACCGCAUACGUCCUGAGGGAGAAAGUGGGGGAUCUUCGGACCUCACGCUAUCAGAUGAGCCUAGGUCGGAUUAGCUAGUUGGUGGGGUAAAGGCCUACCAAGGCGACGAUCCGUAACUGGUCUGAGAGGAUGAUCAGUCACACUGGAACUGAGACACGGUCCAGACUCCUACGGGAGGCAGCAGUGGGGAAUAUUGGACAAUGGGCGAAAGCCUGAUCCAGCCAUGCCGCGUGUGUGAAGAAGGUCUUCGGAUUGAAAAGCACUUUAAGUUGGGAGGAAGGGCAGUAAGUUAAUACCUUGCUGUUUUGACGUUACCAACAGAAUAAGCACCGGCUAACUUCGUG